rnacentral:rRNA from 1 species
GACGGACCGAGCGAACGUUGUUCGGAAUCACUGGGCUUAAAGGGCGCGUAGGCGGGUGCUCAAGUCCGUGGUGAAAUCCUCCGGCUCAACCGGAGAACUGCCUCGGAUACUGGGCGUCUCGAGUGUGGUAGGGGUAUGCGGAACUAUCGGUGGAGCGGUGAAAUGCGUUGAUAUCGAUAGGAACUCCGGUGGCGAAGGCGGCAUACUGGACCACCACUGACGCUGAUGCGCGAAAGCCAGGGGAGCAAACGGG